GAUGAAGAACGUAGCGAAAUGCGAUAAGUAGUGUGAAUUGCAGAAUUCAGCGAAUCAUCGAAUCUUUGAACGCACAUUGCGCCCUUCGGUUAUUCCUUAGGGCAUGCCUGUUCGAGCGUCAUUUCAACCUUCAAGCCUGGUUUGGUGUUGGGCGCUGUCCCGCCUCCGCGCGCGGACUCGCCCCAAAUGAAUUGGCAGUCGCACCCUCCGAGCCGCGAGCGCAGCACAAGUCGCGCGGGCGGAACUCUUGGGGGACGGACGCUCCACAAGACCCUUUCUCAGUCUUGACCUCGGAUCAGGUAGGGAUACCCGCUGAACUUAAGCAUAUCAAUAAGCGGAGGA
rnacentral:misc_RNA from 1 species